GGGAAGUAGAUGCCUUGGAUGGCCUGUGUUCUCGCAUCUGUGACCAGUCUGGUGUACAUUAUAAAGUAUUAAACCGGCGUAAGGGACCAGCUGUGUGGGGUCUGAGAGCUCAGAUUGAUAGGAAACUCUAUAAACAGAACAUGCAGGUAAGAAUAGGGCAUGAGCACAGGAAAGAUUAUGGUGAUUGUUUAAUUACCAUGUUUCAACUGGCAUUUUCUUUUGACAGAAAGAAAUCUUGAAUACACCACUGCUUACUGUUCAGGAGGGAGCUGUAGAAGAUCUUAUUCUUACAGAACCAGAGCCUGAACACACUGGGAAAUGCCGUGUCAGUGGGGUUGUUUUGGGCUGGAAUGCAGUGGCAUGAUCACAGCUCGCUGUAGCCUCGACCACCUGGACCCAAGUGAUCUUCCUGCCUCAGCCUCCUGUGUAGCUGGGACCACAGGCAUGUGUCACCACCCCUGGCUAAUUUAUUAUUUUUUUUUGUAGAGAUGGGAGUCUCACUAUGUUGCCAGGACUGGUCUUGAAGCCCAGGGCUCCAGUGAUCUUCCUGCCCGAGUCUCUCAAAGUGUUCAUAUUAUAGUCAUGAGCCACUGAGCCUGGCCAAUUUAAUUUAAUAUCUUUAAAUGCUAUUUUGUGAUCCUGUCCAUGUUUUAUAGGCCCAACAAUAACAAUUUUUUUGU
rnacentral:sRNA from 1 species